GAUGAACGCUGGCGGCGUGCUUAACACAUGCAAGUCGAACGGUGAAGGCGGAGCUUGCUCUGCUGGAUCAGUGGCGAACGGGUGAGUAACACGUGAGCAAUCUGCCCCUGACUCUGGGAUAAGCGCUGGAAACGGCGUCUAAUACUGGAUACGAGCUGCGAAGGCAUCUUCAGCAGCUGGAAAGAACUUCGGUCAGGGAUGAGCUCGCGGCCUAUCAGCUUGUUGGUGAGGUAACGGCUCACCAAGGCGUCGACGGGUAGCCGGCCUGAGAGGGUGACCGGCCACACUGGGACUGAGCGACGGCCCAGACUCCUACGGGAGGCAGCAGUGGGGAAUAUUGCACAAUGGGCGAAAGCCUGAUGCAGCAACGCCGCGUGAGGGACGACGGCCUUCGGGUUGUAAACCUCUUUUAGCAGGGAAGAAGCGAAAGUGACGGUACCUGCAGAAAAAGCGCCGGCUAACUACGUG
rnacentral:rRNA from 1 species